AUUGAACGCUGGCGGCAGGCUUAACACAUGCAAGUCGAGCGGAGCGAGGGUGCUUGCACCUUAGCUUAGCGGCGGACGGGUGAGUAAUGCUUAGGAAUCUGCCUAUUAGUGGGGGACAACAUUCCGAAAGGAAUGCUAAUACCGCAUACGCCCUACGGGGGAAAGCAGGGGAUCUUCGGACCUUGCGCUAAUAGAUGAGCCUAAGUCGGAUUAGCUAGUUGGUGGGGUAAAGGCCUACCAAGGCGACGAUCUGUAGCUGAUGUGAGAGGAUGAUCCGCCACACUGGGACUGAGACACGGCCCAGACUCCUACGGGAGGCAGCAGUGGGGAAUAUUGGACAAUGGGCGGAAGCCUGAUCCAGCCAUGCCGCGUGUGUGAAGAAGGCCUUUUGGUUGUAAAGCACUUUAAGCGAGGAGGAGGCUACUAGUACUAAUACUACUGGAUAGUGGACGUUACUCGCAGAAUAAGCACCGGCUAACUCUGUGCCAGCAGCCGCCGUAAUAC
rnacentral:rRNA from 1 species